rnacentral:rRNA from 1 species
UACGUAGGUGGCAAGCGUUGUCCGGAAUUAUUGGGCGUAAAGCGCGUGUAGGCGGCUCGAUAAGUCUGCUGUGAAAGUCCAGGGCUCAACCCUGGAAUGCCGGUGGAAACUGUCGAGCUUGAGUCCGGAAGAGGCAAGUGGAAUUCCUGGUGUAGCGGUGAAAUGCGCAGAUAUCAGGAGGAACACCAAUGGCGAAGGCAGCUUGCUGGGACGGUACUGACGCUGAGACGCGAAAGCGUGGGGAGCAAACAGG